rnacentral:rRNA from 1 species
GACGAACGCUGGCGGCGUGCUUAACACAUGCAAGUCUAACGGAGUGGCGAAAGGGUGAGUAACACGUGGGUGAUCUGCCUUGCACUUCGGGAUAAGCUUGGGAAAAUGGGUCUAAUACCGGAUAGUGCAAGAUGCGUUCGCGGCCUAUCAGCUUGGUGGUGGGGUACUGGACUACCAAGACGUCGAGGGGUAGCCGGCCUGAGAGGGUGUACGGCCAAAUUGGGAUUUAGAUAGGUACCAGACGCUAACGGGGGGCAGCAGUGGGGAAUAUUUCACAAUGGGCGGAAGCCUGAUGCAGCGACGCCGUGUGGGGGAUGAAGGCCUUCGGGUUGUAAACUCCUUUCGACAGGGACGCGGUACCUGUAUAAGAAGCACCGGCUAACUACGUGCCAGCAGCCGCGGUAAUUC